rnacentral:rRNA from 1 species
CUCCCUCGUUGCUGACCUCAGGUUCGAUAAUGCCAAAUCGCACCACCUCGCCUAAAACCAACUUCGAUGAAGCGACGGGCGGUGUGUG